GGGCUCGUAGCUCAGUUAGGCAGAGCGCCUGGCUUUUAAAUUUUAUGAAGACACCAGGUGGCCGAGGGUUCAAAUCCCCCCGAGCCCG
rnacentral:tRNA from 2 species